GUUGAAACACCAGUUCCCGUACGAUCACCGAAGUUAAGCAACGUCGAGCCUGGUCAGUACCUAGAUGGGUGACCGCUUGGGAAUACCAGAUGCU
rnacentral:rRNA from 1 species